AAGUCGUAACAAGGUUUCCGUAGGUGAACCUGCGGAAGGAUCAUCAACAAAUCCCUCUAAAUACUCAAAACACACCUUUGUGCUCAAAACCCCCUAUAAAUCUAUGCUCUUCUCCGGUCACUUGCUGAUCAAGUGUAUGGUUUGAAUGAGAUCGUCAUUGGUUGUACGAUCCUUCCAUGCAUGAGUUGAGUGUAGGUUUUUUUUUCCCUUACAACCAAAAAAACAACAACAUAAACUCCAAAAAAACACAAUCUUUAUCUAUCUGUUUCUGUUUUUUGUUUUUUUUUCUUUUCAUCUUGUAUGCACACUCGUGUGUAUAUAAUGUGAAAAAAAAGGAAAUAAAAAUAUAAAAAAACUUGAAAACAACAUUUAACAAUGGAUCUCUUGGUUCUC
rnacentral:misc_RNA from 1 species